ACCGCGACACCGCCUGCCGUCACGUGGGGAGGAGCGGCGGCCAAUCAGAGCGGCCGCAGAAGCGGCGCUGCACGCUGGGAAUUGUAGUCCGGUCCCCUGGGGCGGGUGGUGAGCGGUGAGGUGCCCGGAGGCCGAGGUCCAGCCGGCCCACGCGGGGCAGGGUCCCAGAUGUCGCUCGGGAGCCCCGCAUUCCGCACUGGCGAGGGCAAAGCCUCCACCGAUCGCUUUGUCAUCUGCUUGUCCCCGCCCUUGCCCCGACCCUUCACGCGAUGCACGUGUGCAGCCCCGAGGCCUGCAGGCCAUGUGGGGCCUCCCUGAGCACGGCUGUGUAAGGUGCUUGAUAGAAGGGCUCGCACAGCUUACUCCAACAAGUCCCCACAGCGACAGGCUGAGGACCAGAAAUCCUGUUAUCAGCAGUAGAACGUUUCCUGUGAAAGCAAAGACUUCCUCUUCAAUCUCUGUCUUAAAAGGGAACAAGCACUCUCCCCUCCACUCCCACCAUUACACAAGAAUGGGAUCUUAGGAAGAAGUGCCCUGUGGCCCACCAUCCUGGUACAUACCAGCUGCCUGUGCUUUCACAUGACCAGACUGAAGGCCUUUGAAAACAAAUAUGGAUUUGAAUGAUAUGUGACAUGGCCAAAUAUUAUCUUGAAACCAUUCUCAUCAGCAUGGGAUUUUUGAGGUACUUUCAAGGGAAUGCAUACACAGAUUGAAACAAUGGAGAGGAUAACAAGCCCUGGCCACAGGAGAAGCAGCUUAGUAUGAAGACCCAAGUGCUGAAACAGCAAGAAGUUAACAAUGACAGACAUGCUGCUGAAAACUGGAACUAUCUAAGAGCCCUGAGUUCAGUUUGACUCUGCUUCCCAGGACCUAAGUACAUUCAUCUUCCUUUCCUGCAAGUAAGUGAUGAAGGAUGUACGGAGAUAUGUAAAGAACCAGACAGUGGCGGAAAUAAGGAACUGAGGAAUCAGGCAAGCAGGAUCAUGGGCUGCAGACACAUUGAGGAGCAGCUGAGAGAGGUACCUGGAGCUGGGGCUGUCCUUGUGUUCCCCGUCAGCCUGGGCAACCCCUGAGAUCCUGGCACCUCUGGUCCUGGGGAGAUGCCAGCCUGCACAGUGCCAUGACAGAUCAACAGCAAAGAGACUGCUCAGAAUUGUACAUGGGGUGACAAAAAACACAGUGGAAUAAGUCAAUGAAGAGUCAGAAGAAUCUGCAGAGGAAAUUGGAGGACAGACGACGAUUUUGGACACAUCAGUAAUUAGAGACCUUUUUCAACUGCCACAACUCUUCAAAAAUGACAGAGUGACCUUGCCAGCACUUGCUUCUGCAGGACUCUUACGUUCAUUAGUAACAAAGCAGUGAGAAGAAUACCUGUCAGAUUUUGAUUGCCUCUAAACUUCCCAAACACAUGGGAGCAAGUGAAUGUUCUAUCAGUGGUGCUGGUUCCACAACUGUGAUGUAAAUAAAUCCCAGGUGUUGUGAUGUUACAUAUUUGACCACACAGCUGCUAACACUUUCCUGUGAUGUGCAUCUUCAUAUUUGUAGGAGCUUCCUAUCUAUAAGAGGUCCUGUUUUCACAUCAGAACUUGAGAAGAAUAAGGGAGAUACCUGUGCUAUCUUCAUGAAUCCUGGUUAACUCUACAUCUGUCUCAUGAAUUUUAAGAGAGUCCUACAUAAAAUUCUAUACACAAGGUAUUGCGUGCAAUGCAAAACAAUAUUGGCCUCAACUGCUCAGGACUGGAAGACCAGGAAUGUUAGGAACCAGCUGCAGAAGAAAGUAACCUCUCCAAAUACCUCCAGUAUCAAAAUCUAAAUCAAAGACAGCUUUGAAAUGGGUAAAAAGCCUUCUGAUGACCUCAGAGGGGAACUGUAGUGGUCACACUCUGAGAUCACUGAUAGUUUUUUAACAUCUCCUGAAAGGACUCAGAUGUCAGCAAGAUGAGGAAUCAGAGUGGUGCACCACCUGGUAGUCAAUGAAGCAGUGCAAAGACAGGAGCACUGUGAAUCUGCUGCAGACACCACCUGUAGAAGUUAGACACCAAGUGGGGCAUCCUGCAUGCUUAAAUGUGCAUUAUUUAUACAAACUGUGGAGAAAAUACAGCCUUAUUAUUUGCACUGUUCCUUUAAGGAGGUGACAGUCCUCUGUUGUAUAGGUACAUGCUGUACUGCUAGAGCUCUGAUCUAAGAUUGGUGCUACUGAAGAUGUCUUUCCCAAGUCAAACAGUUUUAUAACACACAUUUAGCUACAGUAACAACAUUAAGAUUGCUGUAUUUUCCCAAAUCGUGACAUGAGGAGGGGAAAUUAUCAUAUUUGAAAUGCAAGGAAGGACUUUGUGAGAAUGCACUGAAAGCUAAAUCAGGACUGCUCCCAGCUGUGUUUCCGGAGGCAUGUUUAUUCCACUACCUUACUGAAUCACCUUGAGCAAGAUAUUUAACCUCCUUCUUUCUACAUCUAUCUCUCUAGAAAACAAAAAUAAUUCCUAAAACACAAGCUUUUCAAGCUGAUCUAAAGCCCAGCAGAAUGAAUGAUGGUUACUCAUUUCUAAGGGUCUUGACUCCAGCCUUCAGUCAAUUAUUUAACUAGUUAAUGUUUGUAACUAUCAGUGCUGUUAUUACUUUGUAUGACUAUAAAUGACAUGGGAGGUUGUUACUGUUAGGUAAGCAGCAAUGGACAUAAGUGGAUUUUUCACUUUAUUUUAUUUUUUGCAUGGAGCAGCGCAUGAACUGCUAUAAACCUGUCCCAAAUUUAAAAUAGCACAAAUAGUGGUAACUGUGCAGCUGUGUUCUGGCUUGUUAAUAUUCACGAAUGGUAUGAAUUUGAAUACAUUAAAACUUUUCAUUUAGACAUCAAAAUGUUGACUCACCUGAAUCUUAAUAAUUUUUUUUUCUAUGGUUCAUUUUGGCAUCAAAUGUGUAGCUCACUAUUGCAGUGAUGGGUGGGGACAGCUCCUGGCAUUUGGGUUCAGAGCAGCUAAGAGAGGGGAUGUGGCAGAUGUUAUGGGCAAGCACUAGCUCAUUGUGAAUUCCCCUCAAGAAAAAAUGCUAAGCCUUUGAUGAGCUCUAAUAAAUAAUUAGCAGCAGAGAUAAAACAAGAGUACUGAUGCCUCAUGCUGAAAAUGGGUUCUGAAUUCACUCUCACCCUGUGCAACAGUCCUGGCUGCAGCAGGGAUACUUCCCAGCAGCACCACAGGGCUGAGGUGAGAAUUGGACUCUUUGCCUUUGUAUUCAACUCCCGAUGCAGAGCUCAGGGCCAGAGGUAUAAAAUACAAACUACCCAUAUACCUCACUUAAUGUUAUAUGACUUGUUAAGCUUCAAAGGAAAUGGGAAUACUUUGAAAUUAGUGAAAGGUGCUGUCCCACCAGUCCCUGUGGUCUAGAGUCACAAACUCCUUCUUCACAUGCCCUCAUAUACUCCUCAUGCACACACAAAAGGACUUAUGUCCCUCGAGGAUAAUGACUACUCAGUAUUUUGACUUCAUGUGUCAUUUAUCAAGCAAAAUAUUGGCCUAGGUAGUAUUUGCAUGGUCAGCUUCUGCUCAAGAUGAAGUGGAUUGCUUCUGGCCAGUGUUUUUUUUUUUAUUACUUGCUGUAUGAGUAUCAGAUGGAUGGCAGUUCAUCGCAAUAAUCUAGGACAACUUCAGGGACAAUUUUAAGAUGUACAUGUAUUUUCAUUUAAUUUUUGUUUAAUUUUAUAUUUUGUACUUGCAUCCUACUAAUAUUUAUUUCUUAUUUUAUAUUUUUAUUUCUCACUUUAUAAUCUGGUAAUAAAUGUAAUUUUUGCCAUUUUCACUGCAUUUUAUUUGCUGUUCCUCAAGGCAUUUUAUAUUUCAAGGGAAAGAAUUACAAAAUAAAACGAAAUAAAACAAAGAGAGAAUAAAAGAAAGAAAGAAAAAGCUCUGUCACUGUAUUUCUCCCAGCAAGAAAAA